ACCCAUGGCCAGGGUUAAUUAUUAAUUAUUCCAUAUUAAUUAAUGAAGAUAAAGCUCUGUCCCCUCAGCCAAAACCAGUUCUGUUCCAACACUUGAUUUUGGAGGAUGGUGGGAGCUUCUUUCAUCCCACCCAUCCUGAUUCCAGCAGAUCCAGGGGAUUAUGGAGAGCACUACCCUGGUUUUGUCCUGUUGGAAUACAAAUGGAGCUGUGAAAUCAUGGAAUAGCUCUUCCCUGAGUUAUUUUCCAGAGGAUUAUCCUGACUGUUGAGUGCAGCAGGCCUGUAGUGUGAGGAGAAAUGCACGACCUGGCUUCCCCUUGGAAUUUUUCCCUUGGAAUCAGCAGUGUGGGCUGCAUGAAGAGGUUGAAAUAUUCCUUGCAUGGAGUGUUUUGCUUCAUGUAGACACCUGAGAUGUGCUCAAGGAAUGGGAUGUUGGAAAUCCAGCUCCUCCCUCCUCUCUUCCCCAAAAAAAGGAGCUGUAAAGGAAAUUUCUGCCCUUAAACUCAGAUUUUUGCAGGAUUCUUUGCUAACCACCAGCUGUGUGUUGGGAAGGUGUUCCAGGGAUUGACUGUGGGUUUUCAGUUUGUGAUUUCCUCAUCAUUCCAGGUCUCUCCUGCAUUUGGAAGAGCUGGGAAAGGCUGGGAGAUGCAGCCUCACCUUCCCUGCAGGUGUAUGGGUGUUUUCCAAGUGGGAAUCACAGGUGCUCCCAGUUGCCAGAAGCAUUGAGUGGAUAAAUCAAAGUUUUGCAUUUGGAAAUCCACAAAACUCUUCAAAGAGCAGGAAAAUGAGAAAGCAGCCGAGCCUGUUGUCUUCAUUUUUAUGUCCUGUAAUGUUAAUAAAAACCAGAUUUUGCUUGUUUGU